rnacentral:rRNA from 1 species
AUUGAACGCUGGCGGCAGGCUUAACACAUGCAAGUCGAGCGGGGGAAGGUAGCUUGCUACCGGACCUAGCGGCGGACGGGUGAGUAAUGCUUAGGAAUCUGCCUGUUAGUGGGGGACAACAUCUCGAAAGGGAUGCUAAUACCGCAUACGUCCUACGGGAGAAAGCAGGGGAUCUUCGGACCUUGCGCUAAUAGAUGAGCCUAAGUCGGAUUAGCAAGUUGGUGGGGUAAAGGCCUACCAAGGCGACGAGCUGUAGCGGGUCUGAGAGGAUGAUCCGCCACACUGGGACUGAGACACGGCCCAGACUCCUACGGGAGGCAGCAGUGGGGAAUAUUGGACAAUGGGGGGAACCCUGAUCCAGCCAUGCCGCGUGUGUGAAGAAGGCCUUAUGGUUGUAAAGCACUUUAAGCGAGGAGGAGGCUACUCUAGUUAAUACCUAGGGAUAGUGGACGUUACUCGCAGAAUAAGCACCGGCUAACUCUGUGCCAGCCGCCGCCGUAA